GACGAACGCUGGCGGCGUGCUUAACACAUGCAAGUCGAGCGGUAAGGCCUCUUCGGGGGUCCACGAGCGGCGAACGGGUGAGUAACACGUGGGUGACCUGCCCUCAGCUCUGGGAUAAGCCUGGGAAACUGGGUCUAAUACCGGAUAUGACCUUUCCUCCCCUGGGGUUUGGUGGAAAGUUUUUUUGGCUGGGGAUGGGGCCGCGGCCUUUCCGCUUGUUGGUGGGGUGAUUGCCUACCAAGGCGGCGACGGGUAGCCGGGCUGAGGGGGCGGCCGGGCACACUUGGACUGGGGACCCGCCCCGACUCCUACGGGAGGGAGGAGUGGGGGAUAUUGCGAAAUGGGCGGAAGCCUGACGCAGCGACGGCGCGGGGGGGAUGGCGGCCUUCGGGUUGUAAAAGUCUUUCGACCCCGACGGAUUAUGACGGUAGCGGUAGAAGAAGCACCGGCCAACUACGUG
rnacentral:rRNA from 1 species